GGGGCUGUGGAUGAGCAUGCGGUUGAUUAGCUAGUUGGCGGGGUAAAGGCCCACCAAGGCGAUGAUCAAUAGGGGACCUGAGAGGGUGAUCCCCCACACUGGCACUGAGAUACGGACCAGACUCCUACGGGAGGCAGCAGUAGGGAAUAUUGGACAAUGGGUGUAAGCCUGAUCCAGCCAUGCCGCGUGCAGGAAGAAGGCCUUCUGGGUUGUAAACUGCUUUUGCCGGGGGAUAAAAGAUCCAUGCGUGGAGAAUUGAAGGUACCCGGUGAAUAAGCCACGGCUAACUACGUGCCAGCAGCCGCGGUAAUACGUAGGUGGCAAGCGUUGUCCGGAUUUAUUGGGUUUAAAGGGUGCGUAGGCGGUCCUGUAAGUCAGUGGUGAAAUACGGCAGCUCAACUGUCGAGGUGCCAUUGAUACUGCGGGACUUGAGUACAGACGAGGCAGGCGGAAUUGACGGUGUAGCGGUGAAAUGCUUAGAUAUCGUCAAGAACACCGAUAGCGAAGGCAGCUUACUAGACUGUAACUGACGCUGAGGCACGAAAGUGCGGGGAUCAAACAGGAUUAGAU
rnacentral:rRNA from 1 species